GCUUAGGCAAGAGGAUCAUAUAUCACCAUUUCUAUUUUCUAUUGCAAUGGAAUAUCUCAGUAGGAUUCUCCAUGGACUAAAAGAGGACAAAGAGUUCAGAUACCAUCCAAAAUGUGCUAAACUUGGUAUUACACACCUAAGUUUUGCUGAUGACUUACUGUUGUUUGUAAGAGGAGAUUUAUCAUCAGUAAAGGUCAUGCACAGAUGCUUCAAAUAGUUUGCUCAAGCUUCAGGACUUCAAGCAAAUAUGGGAAAGAUUUCAGUGUUUUUGG
rnacentral:lncRNA from 1 species